GCAUGGUAAUGGAUUUAUGGCAGGCUCUUCCACUGUGGGCCUCUCAUAGUGUUCCCAUGCCAGAAUAAACUGUGGCCUCGAACCAUUGCCCAGCCUUCUUAUCUGUGGGCUGUGAGCACUGAAGGAGGUUGUACAGUG